rnacentral:lncRNA from 1 species
GGUGGAGGAGGGUGGAGGUGGUGGAGGGGCCGCAGCGGACACCACGGACCCCGCGGACGGAGCCUGGUUGUUUGCAAACAAGAUGCCUGAAGACAGCUGACUGAGGGAGGAGGGAACCGGAAGCAGGAAGCCGCCUGUUUUUCCUGGUCUCCACAAAGAUCGUCGAUUGAGAUUUUUUCCCCCACUCAAGUGGACCCAGUUGAUUCCGCGACACAGAUCUCACCUCUUCACUCGCAGGA